UCAACAUGGACCAGUAUCCCUGCUUUCAACACCUUGUAGAGUCAACAUGGACCAGUAUCCCUGCUUUCAACACCUUGUAGAGUCAACAUGGACCAGCAUCCCUGUGGAAGACUUUUGACAUCUUUUAGAGUCAACAUGGACCAGCAUCCCUGCUUUCAACACCUUGUAGAGUCAACAUGGACCAGCAUCCCUGUGGAAGACUUUUGACAUCUUUUAGAGUACAUGUCCUGACGAAUUGAGCGUGUUCUGAGGGCAAAAGUUUGAUGUAGUCAACAUUAGGAAGGUGUUCUUAAUAUUUAGUAUGCUCAGUAGUCCACAGGUGUUGUUAAUAUUUAGUAUGCUAGGUACUCAACAUUAGGAAGGUGUUCUUAAUAUUUUGUAUACUCAGUGUAUUUUAUGUGUUAUAGUCAUAUGAAGGGGAGAUAUGGUAUUCGUCCCAAACAGCACCCUUAUUUAUUUAACCUUUAUUUAACUAGGCAAGUCCGUUAAGAACAAAUUCUUAUUUUCAAUGACGGCCUAGGAACAGUGGGUUAACUGGUCUAGGAACAGUGGGUUAACUGGUCUAGGAACAGUGGGUUAACUGGUCUAGGAACAGUGGGAUAACUGGUCUAGGAACAGUGGGAUAACUGCCUGUUCAGGGGCAGAACGACAGAUUUGUACCUUGUCAGCUCUGGGAUUUGAACUUGCAACCUUCCGGUUACUAGUCCAACGCUCCACUAGGCUACCCUGCCGCCCCAACCCUAUUCCCUAUAUAGUGCACUAACUACUAGAGUACCAUUACGUUGAUUCUAACAACAUGAUCACGGUACUUGGUUUGCCUCUUGGUUUUAUGUUGAAACGUUAACAUGUUUUAUUUAUUUAUAAUGAUAUUGUUACUGGCUGCGUCCUGGUCCCAAAAUGGCACCCGUUAUUCUCUAUAUAGUGCACUACUUUAGACCAGAGCCCUAUAGAACCCUAUUCCCUAUAUAGUGCACUACUUUAGACCAGAGCCCUAUAGGACCCUAUUCCCUAUAUAGUGCACUACUUUAGACCAGAGCCCCUACGGUGCAUUCUGUAGGGAAUAGGGCUCGGUCAGGGAUACCGACUCGUUUUUAAAAAAAAAUCUUGAUUUUGUUUUGUUGACAGCGGAGUGGAAUGUAUAUAUGUGUACAGAGGAGGAAUCAUGUUUCAUGAUGCCGUUUACAUUUAUUAAUAUAUCGAUAUUUUACUGUGCAUCCGUCCCAAAUGGCACUCUUUUAUUCCCAAUUUAGUGCACUACUUUUAAAGGGAAUGGGAUGCCAUUUUGGACGUAUUGUGUGUUUCUCUGACUGUGAACUACAACUGUGUGUGUUUUCUAAAUGCUGCUGGCGACUACUGCAUUAUGUGGAAGUAAAAUAUUUUAAAUCUGGUAUUUAUUUGGUGUGAGGAGUAUGUGAAAUGAGGGCAUAUAUUUUAUAUUUUCCUAAAAAGGGAUACAAUUUUUUAAAAUGUUUUUUUACAUUUAGAGAUUUUAUCUACAUCCGGUAGGAAAACCCUGGUCCCGGAGUGCCUCAGCCAUUUCGUGUUUUAACGGACCUGUACAACCAGAAUAUUUUGUCAGUAGAGCUGUGGAACAUCCAGGUGCUCUUUUGCAAACUUCAGACGUACAGCCAUGUUUUUUUGGACAGCAGUGGCUUCUUCUAUGGUGUCCUCCCAUGAACACCAUUCUUGUUUAGUGUUCAGAAGGCUUCAAAUGUACGGUGAAUAAUAAAGUAAGAUUAUCCAUGGAUUCUAUCCGUGUAAUAGCUUCGAGGCAAGCAACACUGAUACAUGCAUGAGAGCACCAGCUAUUCUGGAAGACUGUGUGAUCACGCUCUCCGCAGCUGAUGUAAGACCUUUAAACAGGUCAACAUUCACAAGGCCGCAGGGCCAGACGGAUUACCAGGGCGUGUACUCCGAGCAUGCACUGACCAACUGGCAAGUGUCUUCACUGACAUUUUCAACCUCUCACUGUCCGAAUCUGUAAUACCAACAUGUUUUAAGCAGACCACCAUAGUCCCUAUGCCCAAGAACACUAAGGUAACCUGCCUAAAUGACUACCGACCCGUAGCACUCACGUCUGUAGCCAUGAAGUGCCUCCACAUGCUGGUCAUGGCUCACAUCAACACCAUCAUCCCAGAAACCCUAGACCCACUCAAAUUUGCAUACCGCCCCAACAGAUCCACAGAUGAUGCAAUCUCUAUU
ensembl:lncRNA